GACAGAGGCCUCGAGCGUUAGGCGGAAUCACUGGGCUUAAAGCGUGUGUAGGCGGGCCCGUAAGUGUCUUGUGAAAUCCCACGGCUCAACCGUGGAACUGCUGGGCAUACUGCGGGUCUUGGGCCAACUAGGGGCAGCCGGAACAAGCGGUGGAGCGGUGAAAUGCGUAGAUAUCAGGAGGAACACCAGCAGCGAAGGCGGCGCUCUGGGCUGGAACUGACGCUGAGGAGCGAAAGCGUGGGUAGCAAACAGG
rnacentral:rRNA from 1 species